rnacentral:rRNA from 1 species
AGUGAACGCUGGCGGUAGGCCUAACACAUGCAAGUCGAACGGCAGCACAGUAAGAGCUUGCUCUUACGGGUGGCGAGUGGCGGACGGGUGAGGAAUACAUCGGAAUCUACUUUUUCGUGUGGGAUAACGUAGGGAAACUUACGCUAAUACCGCAUACGACCUACGGGUGAAAGCAGGGGAUCUUCUGACCUUGCGCGAUUGAAUGAGCCGGUGUCGGGUUAGCUAGUUGGCGGGGUAAAGGCCCACCAAGGCGACGAUGGGUAGCCGGCCUGAGAGGGUGACAGGGGACAAGGGGACUAAGAUACGGGCCAGAAUCCUAUGGGAGGCAGCAGUGGGGAAUAUUGACCAAUGGGAGGAGGCAUGAAGAAGCAACGCCGCGUGCGGGAUGACGGCCUUCGGGUUGUAAAAAGCAUUCGGCUGUGACCACGCGGGAGUGACGGUAAUGGGUAAAGAAGCACCGGCUAACUACGUG